rnacentral:rRNA from 1 species
AGGACAAACGCUGGCGGCGUACCUAAGACAUGCAAGUCGAACGGAUUGCGUAUCUUCGGAUGUGCAGUGAGUGGCGAACGGGUGAGUAACGCGUAGGAACCCGCCUCGACGUGGGGGAUAACACUUGGAAACAGGUGCUAAUACCGCAUGUGGUCGAGAGAAGAAAGGCUUGAGCAAUCAAGUCGCGUUGAGAGGGGCCUGCGUCCGAUUAGCUAGUUGGUGGGUAACGGCUUACCAAGGCGACGAUCGGUAGCUGGU